GCUCACCUAAGUAAACUGGCCGCGACCCGCCGCUGUGUACAUUCAGAAAAAGGAGGUCCCUUAAUGAGCGAAAAGGACGCGCGUUUUGAGCGGUUGUUGGUGGGGACUUUGCCCAGCUCGUGUUCUGCCUGGUAUUCUCAUCUACUCCCGGGGCUUCUGCUGCCUCCACCUCUCUUCUCUGUCAUCACCACACCGUGUACAUUCUGCAUCUCUACUGCGGCACUCUACGUUUUGCUCUACUUACAACUCCCUGGCAUCCUGGAUUUGACAGGACAAGAAUCACGUCCAGAUGCUCAAUGUAUCUUCAGUUACUGACGACCCAGAUGACGCUGAAGAGUUGUGACACCGUG